rnacentral:rRNA from 1 species
GACAGAGGUGCCGAGCGUUAGGCGGAAUCACUGGGCUUAAAGCGUGUGUAGGCGGAUCGUUAAGUACCUUGUGAAAUCCCACGGCUUAACCGUGGAACUGCUUGGUAUACUGGCGGUCUUGAGCCAGCUAGGGGCUACCGGAACAAAUGGUGGAGCGGUGAAAUGCGUAGAUAUCAGGAGGAACACCAAUGGCGAAGGCAGAUCUCUGGGCCGUAACUGACGCUGAGGAGCGAAGGCAUGGGGAGCGAACAGG